AGGGCACCACCAGGAGUGGAGCCUGCGGCUUAAUUUGACUCAACACGGGAAAUCUCACCAGGCCCGGACACCGGAAGGAUUGACAGAUUGAGAGCUCUUUCUUGAUUCGGUGGGUGGUGGUGCAUGGCCGUUCUUAGUUGGUGGAGCGAUUUGUCUGGUUAAUUCCGAUAACGAACGAGACUCUGGCCUACUAACUAGAUGGAGGAUCCCUUCGUGGGUUCUUCACUGCUUCUUAGAGGGACGGGCGGCGUUUAGCCGCACGAGAUUGAGCAAUAACAGGUCUGUGAUGCCCUUAGAUGUUCUGGGCUGCACGCGCGCUACACUGAAGGAAUCAGCGUGUCCUCCCCGCUCUGAAAAGAGUGGGUAACCCGUUGAAACUCCUUCGUGAUGGGGAUUGGAGAUCGUAAUUAUUCUCCAUGAACGAGGAAUUCCCAGUAGGCGCGAGUCAUCAGCUUGCGUCGAUUACGUCCCUGCCCUUUGUACACACCGCCCGUCGCUACUACCGAUCGAGUGAUUUAG
rnacentral:rRNA from 1 species